rnacentral:rRNA from 1 species
UACGUAGGGGGCAAGCGUUGUUCGGAAUUAUUGGGCGUAAAGAGCGUGUAGGCGGCCAGAUAAGUCCGCUGUGAAAUCUCGAGGCUCAACUUCGAGCUGUCGGUGGAAACUAUCUGGCUAGAGUCCGGAAGAGGAGAAUGGAAUUCCUGGUGUAGCGGUGAAAUGCGCAGAUAUCAGGAAGAACACCCGUGGCGAAGGCGGUUCUCUGGGACGGUACUGACGCUGAGACGCGAAAGCGUGGGGAGCGAACAGG